AGGGGCUUCCAAUCCAAAAACCCACAAGCGCAUUUUGGCGCACAAGGGGCCUCGAAAUUCCAAAAGCAAUUGCAAAGCCAGGCUUUUAGAUUGUAGCUGAACCCCAAAACCCCAAAAAUGGCGCCUUCAGGCCUGUCUCUAUGAAUCCCCUCAGUUUUCCCCCCAAACCCCUACCAUGGACGACCCCCAAAAGGAGGACCCAGGCGAGGGGCAGAGUGGGAAUGGAAGUGUGCUGGUCAAGGACUCAAGUGAGAACGGCGAAGAAAGAAUCGUUCGUGUUGAGCUCCACAAGGAGGCCACUGAAGCGUACAUGGCCUACGCUAUGUCUGUCCUUCUCGGCCGCGCCCUGCCGGAUGUUCGCUACGGUUUGAAGCCUGUGCACCGUCGUAUUUUGUGCAUCUUGAAAACCGUUCAAGAAAUGUGCUAGAGUUGUUGGAGAGGUUAGUAAUCAGAGGCUUUCUGUUUCUUUUGUAGAAAAUGCUUUGAUGCAGGUUCAAGGAAAAUUUCAUCCCCAUGGUGACACUGCUGUCUAUGAUUCCUUGGUGCGAAUGGCUCAGUAACAAUAACUUUUUCAAUUAAGUAAAAACGGAUAAGCUAGUAGCAAAUACGAAAAAUACUUCAACCUCUGCAAUGUCUUUUUCUUGUUUUUUUUUCUGGAUGGCCUCCUUGUAGUGUUCCAUUUUUCUCAUUUGUUACAUUAUUUUAGUUUUCCCAGCUGUAGGAGUUAGUUUCUUUAGAAUAAAUCUGAAACAGUGCGAUAUAUUCUUUCUUUGUUUGCGGAUAUUUGAGUGCUGUAAUCUUGUGUUAACCAUGUCUUCUCUGGAUGAAGUAGGUUUUUUGAAAAGUGUAAUUAUAAUGGUUAUGGAUAAAUACUCUGUGCAACUUUUUGUAAUUUGUCUGGAGAUGAGUAAUAAGAUUUUUAUGAAUUAUAGUGGUGUGGGUAUGGAAGUAUUAUGGGGUAAAGUAAGAUUUUGGUCUUAACUCUGGGCUUCUGUGUCUUCGAGUUUUGGAAAGCACCUGUAAAGUCUAUUUUCCAUUAAUCUUGUUUUGCUGUUCCCGUUACGUUGAUGUAAUGUUUUGGUGGACAAUCUAUCCAGUGGAUAUAUUUAUUUUGUUUUUCAAUAUAUUUUUUUCUUACCAUAAAAAAAUAAAAAAUAAAAAAUUGUGCAUCUUUAGGCAUCCAUGGCUGGAAAUUAAAUACCAAAGAGCUUUUGAGGGAUGGAACAAUCAAUUUGGAGAAUGGAAGCUUAACAUCAUUGAUAAUUCAUUGAAUGGACAGGGACCAUCAGUUGCUGCCUCUUUUCAUGUUCUAUCUAUACGUUUAUUUGCUGUAUAUACCCGGCGAUGCCCCUUAAUGUCUUUCAUAAAAUUUCAUUACUUCUUUUAAAAAAAAAAAAAAAAAAAAAAAUCCUCGUAUCAAAUAAUUCCAACUUUCUGAAACCUUUUGUGUUUGUAAAUAUUGAUUUAUAUCAGAUUAUAAUUAGUUUUUUAGUUCACGUGGUCUCCUGAUUGCUUUGAAACUUAAUUUUCCAGGAUUUCUCCCUAUGAUUCCCACUAAUUCAUGGGCAUGGGAAUUUCAUCCUCUUUUCAAAUAAAAAACGGGUUCUGCAAUUGGAUUAUGAUCUGUUUUCAUCCUCUUUUCAGCUCAAGCAAGGAUCUGACCCAUCAAUUGUUCUGAAUAAUCUUUAUCGCCUCACAUCUCUUCAAUGCAGCUUUAGUUGUAACAUGGUUGGGCAUUGUUGUGGGCCUGGAUAAUUUGGAUGCAGUAAUUCGUAUACUAAGAGAAUCUUCCAGCAAUGCGGUUGCAUCAUCUGGUCUAAGGACGGAUUGAACAAGAAGCAAAUGAGUUAAAAAGCAAGUUUUCCAGUCCAAGGUGUUCAAUGCUGGAGGAAAUGCUUUUCCAGUCCAGAUAUUCAAUGCUUUUUUCAAGAUUUUGUUUUUAUUUAUUUUUCAUUCUAUAUGUCAUGGAAGAGAAAUAUUAGCUCUGCUAAUUGAUCCUAUUGUUGAGAGCUGUUCACUUCUUUUGACAAGCGGUUAGCCGAGUGCGGCGGCUUCAACUUCUACCUCUGGUUCCUCGUCUGGUGCUGAGAUUAAUGAAGCAGAUUGAAUCUUUCCAGCAUGAUCAAGCCGCAUCAAAAUGAGUCCCCUGAAAAAAAAAAGGAUUUGUAUAUAAUAACGAAGCAUAUUAUGCCAAUGUAUUUCAGAAUAGAACCAAAGUUGAAGUAUAGCUGGCAUAGCGAGACUGUAUAGAAAUAUCCCGCACCUUAAUUCUAUUGACUGUGUACCACUUUGGCUUACAAGAACCUCUUGUUCCAAACAUCACCUGCCAAAGGCAAACUGAAAAAGAGCAGUGAAAAAUAGGUUUAUUUCUUAUUCAGUCUUGAAUAAGGAACUUCAUAAGGCUUUGAAUAAGGAACUUCAUAA